rnacentral:rRNA from 1 species
AGAGUUUGAUCCUGGCUCAGAUUGAACGCUGGCGGCAGGCCUAACACAUGCAAGUCGAGCGGCAGCGGGAAAGUAGCUUGCUACUUUUGCCGGCGAGCGGCGGACGGGUGAGUAAUGCCUGGGGAUCUGCCCAGUCGAGGGGGAUAACUACUGGAAACGGUAGCUAAUACCGCAUACGCCCUACGGGGGAAAGCAGGGGACCUUCGGGCCUUGCGCGAUUGGAUGAACCCAGGUGGGAUUAGCUAGUUGGUGAGGUAAYGGCUCACCAAGGCGACGAUCCCUAGCUGGUCUGAGAGGAUGAUCAGCCACACUGGAACUGAGACACGGUCCAGACUCCUACGGGAGGCAGCAGUGGGGAAUAUUGCACAAUGGGGGAAACCCUGAUGCAGCCAUGCCGCGUGUGUGAAGAAGGCCUUCGGGUUGUAAAGCACUUUCAGCGAGGAGGAAAGGUUGGUAGCUAAUAACUGCCAGCUGUGACGUACUCGCAGACGA